UCCGCAGAUCUCUGAUAUUUCCUCCUCUCGCCCAACACACCCUACCCAGUUACUGACUACGUAACCAAACCCCAUAGGCUCUCUCCCCGCUGACCUCAUUUCCCAUCCCCUACCUAAUAUAAGCUGCAACCCCGCUCAAUAAAGUGAGAUCCUGCUUCGACAGAUCCCCCGAGUCUGGUGUGGUUCGUUAAUGCGCCUGGACUCGCGACACUCGCCAUCCCGCUCAGCCCCAAGGGGAGCUACCGGCUGGCCCGGACGCUCUCCUCGUGCCUGUCGGCCCGCAAAACCUACCGGAGUCCGACAAGGCUUUUUCAGAAAAAGUGACUUCUCAAUCCUUUCCCAGAGCACCUAA
rnacentral:lncRNA from 1 species